rnacentral:rRNA from 1 species
GACGAACGCUGGCGGCGUGCUUAACACAUGCAAGUCGAACGGAAAGGCCCUGCUUGCAGGGUACUCGAGUGGCGAACGGGUGAGUAACACGUGGGUGAUCUGCCCUGCACUUCGGGAUAAGCCUGGGAAACUGGGUCUAAUACCGGAUAGGAGCCAUUUUUAGUGUGAUGGUUGGAAAGUUUUUUCGGUGUAGGAUGAGCUCGCGGCCUAUCAGCUUGUUGGUGGGGUAAUGGCCUACCAAGGCGGCGACGGGUAGCCGGCCUGAGAGGGUGGACGGCCACAUUGGGACUGAGAGACGGCCCAGACUCCUACAGGAGGCAGCAGUGGGGAAUAUUGCACAAUGGGCGCAAGCCUGAUGCAGCGACGCCGCGUGGGGGAUGACGGCCUUCGGGUUGUAAACUCCUUUCGCUAGGGACGAAGCUUUUUGUGACGGUACCUAGAGAAGAAGCACCGGCUAACUACGUG